rnacentral:lncRNA from 1 species
AGUCUGAGAUCAAGGUGUCAGCAGGGCUGGUUUCCUCUGAGGGCUGUGCGGGAAGGAUCUGUUCCAGGCCUCUCUGACUUGUAUGUGGCUGCCUUCUCCCGCCUUCACUUUGUCUUCUUUGUGGUCAAAGGAUGGCUGCCACAACCCCAGACCUCUUGUCUAUAGUCCAAGCAUGAAGAAGGAGGGAAAAGUUUAGUGAAAUGACAAGGAUGGCCAGUAAAGAGGCACUUUGCUGGCCAAGAACCCCAUGUGGGGCUGUGACAGGCAGAAGGAUGGCUCCUUGAAGAUACUCAUGUCCUAAUUCCCAGAACAUGUGAAUAUGCUACUUCAACAGCAAAAGGGACGUUGCAGAUGUAAAUUACGGACCUCGAGACCGGGAGAUUAUUCUGGAUUGUCUGGUGGACCCACUGUAAUCACAAGGUUCAUAUAAGGGAAAUAGGGAAGCAGGAGAGUCGGAGAAGGAGAUGGGAUGAUGGAGGCAGAGGUUGGAGUGAUGCAAUUGCUAGCUUUGAAGGUAGAGGAAGAGACCUUAAGCCAAGGAAUGUGGGUGGCUUCUAGAAGCUAAAAAAAGGCAAACAAACAAACAAACAACAACCCUGCA